GCACCAGAUGCGCAUUUCGACAAUACAUGUCUCUUCAGUGAUGCUCGUGGCCAAAAUAUUUGAAAUCCAAAGCUUAUAUAAAAGAUGAAGAGGUAUAAUCCAAAAGGUCCAAAAAGUAUAGCCAAAUCCGUGAAAGGAAUCAGAGCUUUGCAUGAGGGAGAAACAUUCCUUAAUUUAUAAUAAUUUCUAAUAUUUUGUAACAGCAAAUUUUAAUAACACAAAAAAUCCGUAUGUUCAUGCCAGUACCGAAGUACUGGCUACUGGGCUGGUGAUACCCUCAGGGACUAAUAGUCCACCAGCAGAGGCAUCGACCCAGUGGUAGUAAUAAAAUUAACGGUACCAAUUUUUUUGCACCAGAUGCGCAUUUCGACAAUACAUGUCUCUUCAGUGAUGCUCGUGGCCAAAAUAUUUGAAAUCCAAAGCUUAUAUAAAAGAUGAAGAGCUAUAAUCCAAAAGGUCCAAAAAGUAUAGCCAAAUCCGUGAAAGGAAUCAGAGCUUUGCAUGAGGGAGAAACAUUCCU
rnacentral:lncRNA from 1 species